rnacentral:lncRNA from 1 species
UUUCAAAUUGCAGGCAGCACAAACAUUUCUGGAUUGAGUUUGUAAGAUUGUUCAGAGAUGAUGGAUAAACUACUUAAGAGUGCUGGAACACUUAGUGUGUUCCUUUUGCUAGUCAUAGUGACAGCUGAAUGUCGAAAAAUCAAAGAUGAUGAAUUACCUCAUGGCUUUGAAGGGGGUGCUUUUGGCAAUGGAGAAGGUUUCGGUGAAGGGGGUGGAGGUGGCGGAGAAGGAGGUGGUGUUGGUGUUGGUGUUGGUGGGGGUUAUGGAGUCGGUGAAGGUGGGCAUGGUGGUGGCAUAGGAGGAGGAGUUGGUGGAGGUGACGGAGCAGAAGGUGGUGCUGGUGGAGGCAGUAAAGGAGGAGGUGCAGUUGCAGGUGGUGGAGUUGGAGGAGGUGCCGGAGGCGGCACAGGAAGUGAACAAGGUGGUGUGGGAGGAGGAGUUGGUCAUGGUGGCGGCGUUGAAGGUGGACACAAAGGUGGCGUUGGAGGUGGUGGAGCCGGGGGCGCUGGUGGUGGUGGUAAAGGAGGAGGUGUAGUAGUUGGUCCUGGCGAGGGUUUAGGAGGAGGUAGUGGAGCCGGAGGUGGCGCUAAAGGAGGAGCUGGUGGUGGACAUGGUGAUGGUGUUGGAGGAGGAAGUGGUGGUGGCAUUGGAGGAGCUGGUGGUGGACAUGGUGGUGGUGUUGGAGGAGGAAGUGGUGGUGGCAUUGGAGGAGCUGGUGGUGGACAUGGUGGUGGUGUUGGAGGAGGAAGUGGUGGUGGCAUUGGAGGAGCUGGUGGUGGACAUGGUGGUGGUGUUGGAGGAGGAAGUGGAGGUGGGAUUGGAGGAGCUGGUGGUGGACAUGGUGGUGGUGUUGGAGGAGGAAGUGGUGGUGGCAUUGGAGGAGAUGUUGGUGUUGGUGGGGACUCAGGAGGUGGUGCUGGUGGAGGCUCGGGAGAAGGAGGAGGUGUUGUUGGUGGUGGUAAAGGAGGAGCUGGUGGAGGCUGUGAAGGUGAAAAGGGAGGAGAUGGGGGUGGCAUUGGAGGGGGACAUGGUGGUGGCUUUGGAGGAGGAGCUGAAGGUGGUGCUGGUGGGGGAUUUGGAGGCAUUGGAGUUGGUAGUGGUGAUGGAGAAAUUGGUGGUGGGUAUUAACAUAAAUAUUCCCGAAAACAAGAUCUUAUGCUAUCAAUCAUGCAUGGAUGUAGCAUGCAAUAAUAUAUAGUAGUAUAUUAAUUAAAUAAAUUAUCGAAUUUUGUGAUAUGAUGUUCAUCCCUGUAUGGAUGCAAAUAAAGAUCAAUACUGCUAUAAUAAAUUAGUGAAAUAAAUUUGAGUUUAUAAUUUAAGUUACGUAUAUGUUUAUCCUUAUUAUUAAUUUUCUUAAUCUAUAGGUGGAGCUAGCAGUGCUGGUUUUUUGCUUACUUUAUAUAUGAACACGACCCAUCACUCCAGAAUUAAGUUGCAAUGUAAAGAACAGAAAUAACAAGUAACGUACAAUUCCAAUGCUCUAGAAACAGUUCCUUGAUAAUGUAGUCUAAAUUGCUUGCUACAAGAGCGUCAUGAGCAAGUGACUACAUACUUGAGUUUUGGGGAAACAAUCCA